rnacentral:rRNA from 1 species
GACAGAGGAUGCAAGCGUUAUCCGGAAUGAUUGGGCGUAAAGCGUCUGUAGGUGGCUUUUUAAGUCCGCCGUCAAAUCCCAGGGCUCAACCCUGGACAGGCGGUGGAAACUACCAAGCUGGAGUACGGUAGGGGCAGAGGGAAUUUCCGGUGGAGCGGUGAAAUGCGUAGAGAUCAGGAGGAGCACCCGUAGCGAAGGCGGCACUCUGGGCCGAUACUGACACUGAGGAGCGAAAAGCGUGGGGAGCGAAUGGG